rnacentral:rRNA from 1 species
CCUACGGGGGGCAGCAGUGGGGGAUAUUACACAAUGGGGGGAACCCUGAUGCAGCGACGCCGCGUGGGUGAAGGAGUGCUUCGGCAUGUAAAGCCCUAUCGGCAGGGAAGAAGCAAGACGGUACCUGACCAAGCAGCCCCGGCUAACUACGUGCCAGCAGCCGCGGUAAUACGUAGGGGGCAAGCGUUAUCCGGAUUUACUGGGUGGAAAGGGGGCGCAGACGGCAAUGCAAGCCAGGAGGGAAAGCCCGGGGCCCAACCCCGGGACUGCUCUUGGAACUGCAUGGCUGGAGUACAGGAGGGGCAGGCGGAAUUCCUAGUGUAGCGGUGAAAUGCGUAGAUAUUAGGAGGAACACCGGUGGCGAAGGCGGCCUGCUGGACUGUGACUGACGUUGAGGCCCGAAGGCGUGGGGAGCAAACAGGAUUAGAUACCCGUGUAGUC